AGUGAACGCUGGCGGUAGGCCUAACACAUGCAAGUCGAACGGCAGCACAGUAAGAUCUUGUUCUAACGGGUGGCGAGUGGCGGACGGGUGAGGAAUACAUCGGAAUCUACUUUGUCGGGGGGGAUAACGUAGGGAAACGUACGCUAAUACCGCAUACGACCUACGUGUGAAAGCAGUGGAACUUCGGACCUUGCGCGAUUGAAUGAGCCGAUGUCGGAUUAGCUAUUUGGCGGGGUAAAGGCCCACCAAGCGGACGAUCCGGGCCUGGUCUGAGAGGAUGAUGAGCACCACUGGAACUGAGCACCGGCCCGGCCUCCUCCGGAAGGAGGCAGUGGGGAAUAUUGGACAUUGGGCGCAGGCCUACUCCACCCCUCCCCCGUAGGUGAGGAAGGCUUUCGGGUUUUAAAGCCCUUUUGUUGGGAAAGAAGAGCAGCAGGUUAAUACCCCCCUGUUCUGACGGUACCCUACGAGUAAGCACCGGCUAACUUCGUG
rnacentral:rRNA from 1 species